rnacentral:rRNA from 1 species
CUCACCCAUUGUGCAUCACGGCGUGAGCCCUUUUGUAAANAGGGCUUGCGUUUUUUUACAUAAAACUUGAUACAAUGUAUAGAAUAUUAUAUUUUCNAUUAUAUGCAAUUAAUACAACUUUCAACAACGGAUCUCUUGGCUCUCGCAUCGAUGAAGAACGCAGCGAAAUGCGAUACGUAAUGUGAAUUGCAGAAUUCAGUGAAUCAUCGAAUCUUUGAACGCAACUUGCGCCCCUUGGCAUUCCGAGGGGCACACCUGUUUGAGUGUCGUGAAAUCCUCAAAAACCUUUUUAUUUGAUUGUUUCUGGUCAGGAAAAGGUUUUUGGACUUGGAGGUUUAAUGCUUGCUUUUGUCUCGGAAGCAAGCUCCUCUGAAAUAAAUUAGUAGGGUCUGCUUUGCUCGAUUCUUAAUGUAAUAAGAUGCUUGUACAUUUUGAAUUUGGCAUUGUCUCUUAGAUGCCUGCUUCUAACUGUCUUAUGGACAAUAAUGGNCUGGUGGCCUUUAGCUAUCCGAGUUGUAAUUUAGAGAAGCAUCUUCCGCGCUGGACCGUGCACAAGUCUCCUGGAAUGGAGCGUCAUAGAGGGUGAGAAUCCCGUCUUUGGCACGGACAUGUCAGGGCUUUUGUGAUGUGCUCUCAAAGAGUCGAGUUGUUUGGGAAUGCAGCUCAAAAUGGGUGGUGAACUCCAUCUAAAGCUAAAUAUUGGCGAGAGACCGAUAGCGAACAAGUACCGUGAGGGAAAGAUGAAAAGCACUUUGGAAAGAGAGUGAAACAGUACGUGAAAUUGUUGAAAGGGAAACGAUUGAAGUCAGUCGUGUUGACCAAGACUCAGCCUUGCCUUGGCUUGGUGUAAUUCUUGGCUGACAGGCCAGCAUCAAUUUUGUCUCUUGGAUAAUGGUAAGGGAAAUGUGACACCAUUAUGGUGUGUUAUAGUCUCUUGUCACAUGCAAGGGUUGAGAUUGAGGAACUCAGCACGCACCUUUUGGGUGUCGGGGCUUUUGCUCACGAUACGUGCUUAGGAUGUUGGCAUAAUGGCUUUAAACGACCCGUCUUGAAACACGGACCAAGGAGUCUAACAUGCCUGCGAGUGUUUGGGUGGAAAACCCGUGCGCGUAAUGAAAGUGAAAGUUGGGACCUUUGUCGUGAAGGGCACCGACGCCCGGACCAGACCUUCUGUGACGGUUCUGCGGUAAAGCAUGUAUGUUAGGACCCGAAAGAUGGUGAACUAUGCCUGAAUAG